UACGUAGGGGGCAAGCGUUGUCCGGAAUUAUUGGGCGUAAAGAGCGCGUAGGCGGUCCGAUAAGUCGGCUGUGAAAGUCAGGGGCUCAACCCUUGAAAGCCGGCCGAUACUGUCGGACUAGAGUCCGGAAGAGGCGAGUGGAAUUCCCGGUGUAGCGGUGAAAUGCGCAGAUAUCGGGAGGAACACCAAUGGCGAAGGCAGCCCCCUGGGCUGAGAUUGACGCUCAGGCACGAAAGCGUGGGGAGCGAACAGG
rnacentral:rRNA from 1 species